AUUCCAGCUCCAAUAGCGUAUAUUAAAGUUGUUGCGGUUAAAAAGCUCGUAGUUGGAGUUCUGCCAGGUGCCGCCUGUCCGCCCCAGUGGUGAGUACGUGGCGCGCAUUUGGCCCUUUCAAGGGGAGCGUAUCUGCACUUUAUUGUGCGAUUGGGAACCAGGACUUUUACUUUGAAAAAAUUAGAGUGUUUAAAGCAGGCUUACGCUUGAAUACAUUAGCAUGGAAUAAUAAAAUAGGACUUUGGUUUUAUUUUGUUGGUUUUCGAAACCAAAGUAAUGAUUAAUAGGGAUAGUUGGGGGCAUUACUAUUAUCGCGUCAGAGGUGAAAUUCUUGGAUUGCGAUAAGAGUAACUACUGCGAAAGCAUUUGCCAAGGGUGUUUUCAUCG
rnacentral:rRNA from 1 species